rnacentral:lncRNA from 1 species
UUCGCCAGUUUCUCUGCACGAAUACCGAGAGAAAACGAACGGGUGUUCUUCGUGUUCUUCAUAAUCAAACGAGGAUUUGAAGGCGUUAUUGGAAUCCGAUGGAGGCGUAUGAAUAGUCAAAACGAAGCUAUCGACGCGUAGAAUCAAGUUUAAUUAUCCUUUCGUGUGCAGAUUCAACAGGUGAAUUAUUGCGAUUUUUACAAAAUUCGAAUUAUUUAAUUUUAAAUGAUGAAUUUUCGUAAAUGAUCUUGUUUGAUUGUUUUGAUGACUCCAUGUUGUAGAGCAUCUCGUGC